rnacentral:lncRNA from 1 species
GUCCGUGCUGGGUGUCCUAGAUUAAGCAGUCGCGAGAACUUCCCUUGGACCCGUGGAUUUGUAAGGGUGUGGGGUCCUGUGCCACGUUCACGGCGUGACUCUCGCAGAGCUGGAUCCCAGGCCGCCGCUGCUCCCCGUGAAUUGCGUGCUCUGUGGCGAGGAAGAGCCUGGGCCCCCGGAACGGCACUUCCGUGGACGUGCCCCCUGCGCCAGGUGCCACCUCACUCGGUCCGACAGGAAACCGCCUCGGAGAAUCCCGGGUGCGGGAGGGAGGGUCACAGACCUUACGCGUCCUUUCCAGCCACGGCAUCAUCUGAAUGCGCGAAGCUCGAGGCUUCUCAGCGCCAGGUGGCCUCCGUGACUUCCCGUUGGAUUUUGAAAGGCACGAAGACCGUUUUGAGGACAGUCAAAUGCGUCUCGUUGUGGAUACCCAUCCAACGAAUAGCUUCGUCCUCGCUUAGAGGUUCCUUGAUAUCUUCAUGUUACCGCAGAACUGUUCCUGGAUGUAAGGUUAAAGAGAGCCGUUUACCAAAAAUCUAAAGUGCCUUCAAAGGUAUUUUUCUUCACACCUGACAACUUGGGGUGACACGGGCUUUUUUUUUUUUGGCUUGACAACUUUGGGGUAGCCUCAAACCGUGUAAGGAACCAGGGCGACCCUGGGCUGUCCAGGUAGAGCAGCUAAGGAAGGAUUUAGCUUCCUUCCUCUUAGAACCUCCCUAAUUUUACACUGACGUGGGGGAGCUGGAGACCCCUGCCUCGUUCGCUUAGGUCCUGAGCAUCUCUGAUGAAGUAGAACGGGCCAGAAGGUCCUUGAUGGCUCCACCUGCGAAUGGGAAGUGUGCACGUCAGCAUGUUUUAAGACCAGGCAGUGGAUGGCUGGGCUCACGUGACCCAUGAUAAAAUCUGCUGUUGGUCUCGUGAUGCUUUCCAAAUUCGAGGUCCUGUUCACGGAAGCUUUUCUCAUGGGACAUGUCAGUGGAAAUAAAAUAUUUUCUUUCAUACA